GGCGGCUGCUGGAACGGCAGUCGAGUGUUGGGGGAAGGGAGCUUGUUAAUCGCUGUAAGCCAUUUUGCCGUUCAGAGGAGAGUUGGAGAGUGUGGUGAGCAGAUGAGAGCUAGUUUCUGAAUUUAAAAUGCCACCACGGAUCAGUCCUCUUAGGGAUGCCAUAGAACAUGUGGUUUCAAAAACAGACAAAACAAGCAAGUUGGAGGUGAAGUACAUUAAUGCAGUAAAAGGACGUGGAGUAUUUGCAAAGAGUUCUAUUUGCAAAGGAGAUUUUCUUGUUGAAUAUCGAGGAGAUAUGAUAAAUGAAGCAGAAUCCCAGAGAAGAAGAAACAUUUACCACCCAUCAUGUACUGUAUUUAUGUUUGACUUCAAGUGGAAAGGGAAACUAUGGUGUAUUGAUGCCUCAAGAGAAGAUGGAUCAUUUGGGCGGCUCGUUAACGAUGACCACAGACACCCAAACUGUAAAAUGAAAAAAAUUGAUGUGGAUGGAAAACCACACCUUUGUUUGUUUGCCCUGAAUGACAUUAAAGAAGGAGAAGAAAUUGUCUAUGACUAUGGGGGUGAUGACUACCCAUGGAGAACACAAGUAUGUUGCAAAGUAUGCAGUAUACGUAAUGCUGUGAUUCAGAAUGUAUUAAGUAUUGUUCAUGAUGUCUUUAUGGUUUUAUAUGUUUGCAUUGUCUUUAUAAAAUGUGAUUACAGACGACCAGUGCUACUUCCCAUGCUGUGGUGGGUGAUUCUGAUCUUCCUCAACC